rnacentral:lncRNA from 1 species
GUCCAACUUCUCAUCUCUGUAUCUCUGUUCUUCAUGUACUACAGGCUUUUUUCUGUAGUUAAGUCAGAAAGCCAUGUAGACUUGCCUGCCCUUUGAAGACAGACUUUUAAGACUUCUAGGAAGAUAGCUGCACUAUUGAAAGUUUUAAAAGAAUAUAAUCGUGUGUGUUGUAACAGAAAGAGAAAUGGAAGUAUUCCAGGAACUCCGUAAGCCCUCAGCACGUUUGGAGUGUGACCACUGCAGUUUCCGAGGCACAGAUUAUGAAAAUGUGCAAAUCCACAUGGGCACCAUCCAUCCAGAAUUUUGUGAUGAAAUGGAUGCUGGGCAGAUGCACAAUGUGUUUGGGAAAGAAGUAUCAUUGGAUUAUUCUUUGAAUCUGCGUCAUGAAAAUUUGAUUUGUUAAUUCACAUGCCUGACAACAUAAUGCUACAGAUCUUCUCUUUUCUUGAUUUGGAUGACAUUGGGCAGCUCUCAAAAACCUGCAAAAAAAUUCCAAAAGAUGUGUAACAGUGAAGAACUUGGGGAGAAAUUUAACAUGUUACAAGACAAACAUGCUUUUGACACAAAGAAGGAUAGACACUUACAAGAAGUUGUAAGCUUUCCACCAAAAUGCAGGCCAACAGAAACACACAGAGAAGACAGCAUUUUUCUAAACUUGACUGAAGUGACAAACUUUUAAAAGUAAGGAUUUAAACUGAAUUUUCAUAUAAUAAUGACUAUCAUUAAACCUUACUAAAGCUGACACUGGGUGGAAG